rnacentral:rRNA from 1 species
AUGGAAGCACCGCCGUCGUCGCCGCUGCCGACGCUCCCGGACGACAUCGUCGAAGAGAUCCUCCUCCGCCUACCGCCCGAUGACCCAGGCUGCCUCUUCCGCGCCUUCCUCGUCUGCAAGGCCUGGAGGAACGCUGUCUCCCAUCCCCACUCCCACCGCAGCUACAUCGGGCUCCACGGCCACCGGGCACCCCCCGUCCUCGGCUUCCUCCACGACUGGGAAGAUGAGGGCAUCCCAGACUUCGUCCCCACCACCACCUCGCCCUUCUCCCUCGCCGCUCUAGACCGCCGGUUCUGGCGCCCCCUCGAAUGCUGCCAUGGCCGCGCCCUCUUCCUCUCCGACCACCUCCAGGAAACUCAGGAACUCCUCAUGUGGGAGCCAAUCUCAGGCGCCCGUGAGCGCAUACCGGUGCCCUCGGCGUUCACGUGCGGGUGGUCGACCGCGGCCGUGUUCUGCGCAGCCGACGGGUGCGACCACCGCGACUGUGCGAGAGACCUAGACCUAGCCCUAGACCUAGGGUUGGCCACCAUGGAAGCACCGCCGCCGCCGCGGCGGCCGCCGGCGAUCCCGGACGAGCUCUUCGAAGAGAUCCUCCUCCGCCUCCCACCCGACGACCCCGCCUGCCUCCACCGCGCCUCCCGCGUCUGCAAGGCCUGGAGCCACACCGUGUCCAGCCUCAGAUUCCGACGCCGCCUCCACGAGCUCCACGGCACACCCCCCGUGCUCGGCUUCCUCCACAACUGGGAGGACGAUUUCAUCCCCCGAUUCAUCUCCACCACCGCAUCGUCCUUCUACCUCGCCGCCCCGGACUGCCUCACCUGGCGGGCCAUCGACUGCCGGCACGGCCCCGCCCUCUUCUUCCCCGAGGAAUUUGGUGAUCAGGAACAGGAAAUCCUCCUGUGGGAGCCAAUCACGGGCGCCCAGCAGCGCAUACCGGCGCCCCCGGCGUUGUGCGACAAUUUCUCGACGGCUGCCGUGUUGUGCGCAGCGGACGGGUGCGCCCACCGCGACUGCUUCGGUGGUCCUUUCCGCGUGGUCUUCCUCUUCGACGUCCUGAUAGACGAGGACGAGGAGACCCACCUCAUAUCGGCCAGCAUAUACUCGUCCCAGACUGGCGCCUGGGGGGAGCUGACCUCGGUUCACAGCAACAUCGACUUCUCCUCGGAAUUCACAGAAAGCUACAGCGUGCUCGUUGACAGAUCGGUGCUCUACUUCAUGUCUGACGGCAACGCCAACAGUGCGUUCGUCGUGGAGUAUGACUUGGCAAGCCAUGACCUGACUCUGUUCGGCCUACCGGACACAUACUACGGCCAUGCAUAUAGCCUCGUGCUGGUGGAAGAUGGUGGAAUCGGAGUAAUCCAAUGCUUGGAUAAGCAUCUCAAAUUGUGGAGAAGAGAGGCCAGUGCUGAAGCAGGAUGGGUGCUGAACCGGGUCAUGUGCUUGGAAAAUUUCAUUCCAAUGAAUGCUUUCUUCCAUAGAGUGCAAGUGCUGGGCUUUGCUGAGGAAGCAAAUGUCAUUUUUUUAACACGCUUCUACACUCCUCUACCUCGAGGCAAGCACCCGAAUCUGCCGGCGUCGAGACCUAGUGGGGAGGCAAGUGGUGAGGAGGGGGGAGAGGAGGAAAAAACAGUGGAUCAGGCACAGCAAUUGUUGAACAAGGGGUCCGAUGCUACCAAGGAAGUUGACUUUAUCAACACCUUCGAAUACGUCAACCAUGACCUCGAGAUCAGGGUUCCGUGUUAUGGAGAAGGUGCUCUGGAGGGAGCUCGCACGCUCAACAAAUCUGGAUGUGCCUUGCUACCCAAAGAUUCUUCAGCUGAUGUUCCCAAGAGUGCACCAAGUUUAUGCCUUUGUUUUCACCUAGGGCUCCCAGGAUUUUGUGAAUGUACAACCAGGAGAGAUGAUGCCGGGAACUCGAUGACCUCUGAAAGCAAUGUUGAGGAUGAUCCACCUUUGGAGGAAGUGCAGGCUGGCCAUAAUGAACCUGAGGACAUUGACCCUGGUGUUGUUGCUAUGAUGGGUUUCCGAGCCGAACCAUUCCCCAUCCGCAUCCGCACCCAAACCCAGCCAACGGCCACCACGGAAGCACCGCCGCCGCUGCCGGCGCUCCCGGACGACGUCGUCGAAGAGAUCCUCCUCCGCAUACCGCCCGACGACCCAGGCUGCCUCUUCCGCGCCUCCCUCGUCUGCAAGGCCUGGAGGAGCGCCAUCACCCAUCCCCACUUCCGCCGCCGCUACAUCGGGCUCCACCGCCACCGGGCGCCCCCCGUGCUCGGCUUCCUCCACGACUGGGAAGACGAGCGCAUCCCAGACUUCGUCCCCACCACCGCCCCGCCCUUCUCCCUCGCCGCUCCAGACCGCCGGUUCUGGCGCCCCCUCGACUGCCGCCAUGGCCGCGCCCUCUUCCUCUCCGACCACCUCCAGGAAACACAGGAACUCCUCCUGUGGGAGCCAAUCACGGGCGCCCGUCGGGACAUCACUUGA